rnacentral:lncRNA from 1 species
GCGCAGGUGGAGAGUGAGCCUGGUGUGGAGUUAGCCACUUCUCCCCAGAGGAAGGCAAGGAUGUGGAGGGUGAAAGCGGGCUCGCAGACACGAAUAUGACCAACGUGAUGCAGUGUGACUCUCAGGAUUAUGUAGUUAUAUAAGACUUGGUCUGUUUGAAAGAUUUGAAGAAGCCAGCUACCCUGAGGUCUACAUCUUUCCACAGCCUUGGUGUUGGAACCUAAUCCUCAACGUGGUGGUAGGUUUACCACCUGAAGCAGAGAACAGCCCUCACCAGAUACUGAACCAGCUGGUGCCUUAACAUUGGACUUCCAGCCUCCAGAACUGUGAGAUGUAAGUUUCUGUUCUUUAUAAAUGACCCAGCCUCAGGCAUUUUGUUAUAGCAGCAGGAACAGACUAAGAUAGUGGCCAACACAAUUCCAGGUGCCUGGUAAUGCUUCCCUUCUGCCCCUUCAGGGACAGAAGUUCUAGAAAGAAGCAAUAGGUCUAGUGAGAAGCAACUCAUCCCAACUCUAUUAGAGUUGACUUAGAGGCCCAGGCCAAUUUAGUUGGUGGGACAGUAAGUGUUUUAGAAGUAGACUUGGGUUCAGAUC